rnacentral:rRNA from 1 species
GCCCCUUAUGAUUUGGGCUACACACGUGCUACAAUGGACAAUACAAAGGGCAGCGAAACCGCGAGGUCAAGCAAAUCCCAUAAAGUUGUUCUCAGUUCGGAUUGUAGUCUGCAACUCGACUACAUGAAGCUGGAAUCGCUAGUAAUCGUAGAUCAGCAUGCUACGGUGAAUACGUUCCCGGGUCUUGUACACACCGCCCGUCACACCACGAGAGUUUGUAACACCCGAAGCCGGUGGAGUAACCUUUUAGGAGCUAGCCGUCGAAGGUGGGACAAAUGAUUGGGGUGAAGUCGUAACAAGGUAGCCGUAUCGGAAGGUGCGGCUGGAUCACCUCCUUUCUAAGGA